rnacentral:ncRNA from 1 species
UGGUGGCCGAUGCCACCAUGAUGAAAGGGAAUCCGGUGAAAGUCCGGAACUGUUCCUGCAGCUGUAAUCCUCGUUAAAGAGGUCUGUAUGUAUAACGCCACUGACCAUAAGUCGGGAAGGUAAUGCAGACUGAGGAAAGUCAGAAGACCUGCCAAUAGAA